rnacentral:rRNA from 1 species
AAGACCUCGCGCUAUGGGAGCGGCCUAUGUCCGAUUAGCUAGUUGGUGAGGUAAAGGCUCACCAAGGCGACGAUCGGUAGCUGGUCUGAGAGGAUGAUCAGCCACACUGGAACUGAGACACGGUCCAGACUCCUACGGGAGGCAGCAGUGGGGAAUUUUGGACAAUGGGGGAAACCCUGAUCCAGCCAUUCCGCGUGAGUGAAGAAGGCCUUCGGGUUGUAAAGCUCUUUCGGCAGGGAAGAAACGGACACGGCUAAUACCCGUGUCUAAUGACGGUACCUGACUAAGAAGCACCGGCUAACUACGUGCCAGCAGCCGCGGUAAUACGUAGGGUGCGAGCGUUAAUCGGAAUUACUGGGCGUAAAGCGUGCGCAGGCGGUUUUGCAAGUCAGAUGUGAAAGCCCCGGGCUCAACCUGGGAACU